AGGGGCAGCACUGGUAGCAAUACUUGGUGGCGACCGGCGCACGGGUGCGUAACGCGUAUGCAAUCUACCUAUUACUGGAGAAUAGCCUUCCGAAAGGGAGAUUAAUGCUCCAUAACAUUGCGUUUUGGCAUCAGAAUGCAAUUAAAGCUCCGGCGGUAAUAGAUGAGCAUGCGUGACAUUAGCUAGUUGGUGAGGUAAUGGCUCACCAAGGCUACGAUGUCUAGGGGCUCUGAGAGGAUUGUCCCCCACACUGGUACUGAGACACGNACCAAACUNNUACGGGAGGCAGCAGUAAGGAAUAUUGGACAAUGGUCGCAAGACUGAUCCAGCCAUGCCGCGUGAAGGAUGACGGCCCUAUGGGUUGUAAACUUCUUUUGUAUGGGAAGAAACCUCCGAACGUGUUCGGAGCUGACGGUACCAUAAGAAUAAGGAUCGGCUAACUCCGUGCCAGCAGCCGCGGUAAUACGGGAGGAUCCGAGCGUUAUCCGGAUUUAUUGGGUUUAAAGGGUGCGUAGGCGGCUUUGUAAGUCAGUGGUGGAAAUCUUCGAGCUUAACUCGGAAACUGCCAUUGAUACUGCAGAGCUUGAAUAUGUUUGAAGUGGGCGGAAUGUGUAGUGUAGCGGUGAAAUGCUUAUAUAUUACACAGAACACCCAUU
rnacentral:rRNA from 1 species